rnacentral:lncRNA from 1 species
CCGUAACUUAUAAUAAUUUUCGGAACCAAAACUUUAAAAUUUCCCAAUUCUAUUUCCAUAAUCAUAAAUCGAUUUAUUUUUAAUUUUCUCCACAUGUUCAUAAUUAUGAAUAUCUAUUUCCAUAUAUUUAAAUUUUUCAGGGUAUUACAUUCACCCCCAUUAAAAUAAAUCUCAUCCCCGAGAUUUCAACCACCAAGUUACGAAAAAAAAUUUAAACUAAUUCCACUAUUUCUUUUAUGGUGAAUAUAAUUAUAAUCUCAGUCUACAAUUUUACUCAAGCUCCGUAAAUAAUUAAACCAACGAAUAGUAAUCGUGAUGCUUAUUGUCUCAGAUUUCCAGUCACAUUUAUUGACAUAAUAAAUAUAAAAAAAAAUUUAGUCAUUCCCAUGGGCAAAAUAAGAACCUACAUCAACCCUUGGCUAGAUAUAUGCUAGCAUAAUAACUACGAUUAUCAUAAAUUCCAGCCAUAACCAUCUUCGGUCAAUUAAAUAUCAAA